rnacentral:lncRNA from 1 species
AUCAGCCUGGCUAUGCAUCAGAUUAAUUGGUUUCGUUUUUCUAACAGGAACAGUUUUGAAGAGGUACUCUAGUAAUCAAAGGAAUGCAAUCAAUGAGUCCAAGGACAUUGGAACUGUACUCUUUUAUUAAAGGAACUGGGUGACUUCAACCCAGUUUCAUGAACCAGUGGAAUUACCACCUUCAUGAAUGUCACCCCUGGGAGGUGAGUCCUCACCUAGGGUAUCCUGUGAUGAGACCAGAAGGACACACAGCUCCAGUGGGCUGAACUAUUACCAGGUAAUACAGAGCACAGCAAGACACUGGAGGAGAUAAAAUAGAAAAUCUAGCCGAAAAGAUCCCACUCACUUACUGUCCAUCCUGUAUAAUAAACUCCCAUAAACAGAAAAAUAUCCACCCUUGAGAGAACAACCGAUUCCCAGAUGGCAUCAACGCAAGUACAAAGCACAGACUUGGCAAAAGAUUCAAGGAGUAAGCUGAAGGCAUUCUCUGUUGCACACUCACAAGGGAACUAUAUCUAAAACUCAGCUAUGUUUCUCUAACCAUUGUAAAGUAUUUUUUUAUCACCCACUAAAGACUUGAUCUCAAA